rnacentral:rRNA from 1 species
AUUGAACGCUGGCGGAAUGCUUUACACAUGCAAGUCGAGCGGCAGCACGGGGGCAACCCUGGUGGCGAGCGGCGAACGGGUGAGUAAUACAUCGGAACAUGCCCAGUCGUGGGGGAUAACACUUCGAAAGAAGUGCUAAUACCGCAUACGUCCUGAGGGAGAAAGCGGGGGAUCUUCGGACCUCGCGCGAUUGGAGUGGCCGAUGUCAGAUUAGCUAAUUGGUGGGGUAAAGGCCUACCAAGGCAACGAUCUGUAGCUGGUCUGAGAGGAUGAUCAGCCACACUGGGACUGAGACACGGCCCAGACUCCUACGGGAGGCAGCAGUGGGGAAUUUUGGACAAUGGGGGCAACCCUGAUCCAGCCAUUCCGCGUGAGUGAAGAAGGCCUUCGGGUUGUAAAGCUCUUUCGGCAGGAACGAAACGGCGAGCUCUAACAUAGCUUGCUAAUGACGGUACCUGAAGAAGAAGCACCGGCUAACUACGUGCCAGCAGCCGCUGUAAAAC